UACGUAGGUGACCAGCGUUGUCCGGAUUUACUGGGCGUAAAGAGCGCGCAGGCGGUCGUUCAAGUCGAGUGUGAAAGCCCCCGGCUCAACUGGGGAGGGUCACUCGAUACUGAUCGACUGGAAGGCAGGAGAGGGAAGCGGAAUUCCCGGUGUAGUGGUGAAAUGCGUAGAUAUCUGGAGGAACACCGGUGGCGAAGGCGGCAUCCUGGACCGACAUUGACGCUGAGGCGCGAAAGCCAGGGGAGCAAACGGG
rnacentral:rRNA from 1 species